rnacentral:rRNA from 1 species
AUGGACUCGUCCACCGGUUCGAGGGGCCCCGCCGGCUUCGCGACGCAGGCCAACGCCCUCUUCCGCAAGAACCUGUGCUUCCAGAAGAGGAACCUGAAGACGAACGCGUGUAUCACCGUUUACCCGAUCCUCGUCUGCGUGCUGCUGGUCCUGAUGCAGCGCCCCAUCGACAACAGGAUUGACCCGUCUAAGUACAGCUGCGGCUGCGCGUGUGUCGACACGGCCGCCGACGGGAGCUGCAGGAGGACAGAGUGCGGCGCCCAGCACUCCACGCCAGACCAGGUCGCUUACUGUCAGAUCCUGAGCCCGCCACGGUGGCCGGCCCUGAUUCAGGUGCCCCGGCCUCAGUCCCGGGCCGUCCGGACCGCCUCCCAGCCGUCCAAUGGUUUGCCUGAACCCACAUGCCGGGUAACCAGGUCUUGCCCCGCUGCUUUCCUCGUCACCGGAAGCAACCGCUCGCUCACCGAAAGUCUUUCGGGUGAAUUGUUCCCUGCUCUGUCUUCCCCUUUGAAUUUCACAGACUAUCUGGAUACACUCUCCAAUAUUGUCUCUGGCUCUGACACAGUGACGUUGCGUAGACAGCUGUUAGAGCCAACGUUUAUCUCAGAAGAUACUUUAUAUGUUGUCCAACCUCGGCGUCAGUCCAAUUUAUCUCAAAAUGUUUCAGUCAAUGCUGGGAUGAUACCCCUUCGACUCACUCCCAAAAUGUCCGCGGACGCGUGUGCGGACAGUGAUCGGUCAUCCCUUAAAUGUUCGCUUCCACAACCAGAUGUGGACUGCAUUCAAGGUUUAUCCUUAUGGCGUAAAAGUGCGUCGGUCAUCAAUGAUGAACUAUUUAAGGGUUAUAGACAACGAGGAAGUGGAGGAGGAAAGACAAAUGAAUUUGUUGCAGGUUACGACUUCUUGAACACAAGCAAGGACAGUCUUGACAUUAAUAUUUGGUUCAAUUCUACCUAUAACAGAAAGGUUGCGUAUUCACCCAUUGCAAUAUUACGAGUUCCACGCUUGGUCAACAUGGCGUCCAAUGCAUACAUCAAAUUCCUCAAAGGAAGUGGAGCGAAAAUGUUGCUCGAAUAUGUUAAAGAUAUGCCUAAAGUAGGAUCAAAGUUAAAAGUUCAAAUUAAUUCUAUUCUUAGUACACUAUUAUUCACAUGGAUUGUGGAACUAAUCUUUCCGGUUAUGCUAACAUAUCUCGUGUAUGAGAAGCAACAGAAGCUUAAAAUUAUGAUGAAGAUGCAUGGUUUGAAAGAUGGUCCUUACUGGAUGAUAAAUUAUGCUUACUUCUUCGGUCUAUCAGCUGUCUAUAUGAUAUUGUUUGUCAUUUUUGGCUCCUUGAUAGGUUUGCGUUUGUUUACAAAAAAUGACUAUAGCAUUCAGUUUGUUUUCUACUUAAUACACAUAAAUGUGCAGAUUGUACUUGCAUUUUUCGCGUCAUCCUUCUUUUCUUCUGUCAAAAUAGCCACAGUGGUUGGUUACAUCUAUGUAUUUGGUUCUGGUUUACUAGGGGGGUUUCUUCUGCAUUUUUUCAUUGAGGAUACAAGUUUCCCGAAGGGUUCGAUAGUAGUCAUGCAGAUGAUCCCUGGAUUUUCACUUUACCGAGGAUUAUACGAGUUUAGUGCAUUCUCUGGAAAUGAAAAUGGAACAGGUGGUAUGAAGUGGGCUAAUUUGAGUGAUCCGGUCAAUGGAAUGCGUACCAUAUUGAUUAUUAUGGUUAUCGAGUGGGCAAUACUUCUCCCAUUGGCAUUUUAUUUCGAUAAUGUUUCAUUAUUGGAUGGGAGACUUCGAAAAAGGAUGUUAGUCUUCUUUAAAUGUUUUAGAAUGCGAGCAGUAUCAUUCAAGAGAUAUAGCUUUGGGCGACUAGGAUCUAAUGUACUAGUUGAAAUGGAGAACCCUGACGCUACUCUAGAGAGAGAGGUAGUUGACCAUCUUCUGUUGGAACCUAAUUCAAACUAUGCUACUAUAUGUGAUAACCUAAAAAAGGUGUAUCAUGGAAUGGAUGGGAACCCUGACAAGCUUGCAGUUCGUGGGUUGUCCCUUGCCAUCCCAAAAGGCCAAUGUUUUGGAAUACUUGGCCCGAAUGGGGCUGGGAAAACAUCCUUCAUCAGUAUGAUGACUGGUCUCAUUCCACCCACAUCUGGUACUGCUUAUGUCCAUGGAAUGGAUAUACGGACUGAUAUGGAUGCCAUCUACACAAAUAUGGGUGUCUGCCCACAACACGACUUACUUUGGGAAACAUUAACGGGAAAAGAGCAUCUGUUAUUUUAUGGGAGACUAAAGAAUCUUAAAGGUGUUGAAUUACUGAAGGCAAUUGAUUAUUCUCUGAAGAGUGUUAAUCUAUUCCAUGGCGGUAUCGGCGAUAAGCAAGUGAGAAAGUAUAGUGGGGGCAUGAAACGAAGGCUAAGUGUCGCAAUCUCUUUGAUUGGGGAUCCCAAAGUUGUUUUCAUGGACGAGCCAAGCACUGGACUAGAUCCAGCCUCAAGAAAUAAACUGUGGAGUGUUGUGAAGGAGGCAAAGAAAAACCGAGCCAUUAUUCUUACAACACAUUCAAUGGAGGAGGCAGAGAUAGUAUGUGAUAGACUCGGUAUUUUUGUUAAUGGUGGUUUCCGAUGCAUUGCAAAUCCAAAAGAGCUAAAAGCUAGAUAUGGGGGCACCUACAUCUUCACAAUGACAACAUCUUUGGAACAUGAACAAGAGGUUGCCCGGCUGGUUCACCGUUUGUCGCCAAGUGCAAAAAGGAUAUAUCACAUAUCUGGAACACAAAAAUUUGAGCUAGCAAAGCAGGAGGUGAAGAUAGCAAACGUUUUUCAUGAAGUUGAGAGUGCCAAAUGUCGUUUCAAUAUACACGCUUGGGGCCUCACUGACACAACUUUGGAGGAUGUCUUCAUCAAGGUUGCCAAGGGAGCAUGA